rnacentral:rRNA from 1 species
AUGGGAAGAACAUGUGUGUUUGUUCAUCAUGGGGACAAAGACGCCUUUUUGAAAGGCAAUAAAGAACCGGACCCGGAUGAGCUUGACAUUGUGUUUGAUAGUAGUCCUAGUUAUGCGGAGCUCUUGCAACAAGUUAGGAAAGAUUUGAAUUGGAUGGACCCUAGUGAUAUCAUUGAGUUGGAGGGAAGGCAUAAUGUUGGUUUUGGAAUGCACAUCCGUUGGAAGACAAUGCGUGUAAACUCGGAGCAACGUUGGGUUGCAUACAAGGAGACGGUGGCCGAAUCACUAGACAAGGCUCUUGAGUUAUUUGCAACGAAGAAGGUUGAGUCAAGUUUGCAUUUGGACUUGAACCGGAACCCCUCCCCUUUGGUUUCUAGUAGCCCCCCACCCUUGAAGCAAGAUGAAAUUGUUGAACCUCUUUUGACCCAAGAAGUGAGGCCAACAUUGAGCCCGUGUAGAAACAACCAAGAUGAAUCUUUGCAAGAGGACAACGAUGAGUAUGCGGACGAUGACAAUGAAGUUGAUCUCCAUGACAACAAUGUGGGUGAUCUCGACAAAUAUCAUUUGCAAGAGACAAUGGACCAUUCCAUCCCUUUUUCCCGUGCAUAUGCAUCGGACUCGGAUGACGAUGGUCCCGAUGAACAAGUUGAUGCGGAGGGGUUCACGGUGAAGGAGGCCGAAGCUUUCGAGAAGGUAUUUGGUCGGGAUCAUCGGACUACAUUGUUCAAGGAUGUUAGUCUCGCGGAUGAAGCCGUGGUAGAUGGUGGCCAAUGUGUAGCUCUUGGGGUUAGGCCAAGCUCUCACCGUGAUUUGGUAGACGACAAGAACCGGAUUGCUAAAGGUUCUAAGUUCGACAGCUUGUUGGAUUUGAAGAUGUGGCUCGACAACUACUCGGUUACGCAUUAUCGUCCACACAAGGUGGUGCACUCGGACGUCAAUGUGCGCUACACGGUUGCAUGUGCAUGUGAAGAUGAAAAGGAGGUCCAACUUGGACUUACAAGAGGCCGUGGUGGUGGUAGAGGUCGUGGAAAGGAGGUCCAACAAGGAGUGGCAAGACGCCGUGGCGGUUGUCCGUGGAUUGUGCGUGCAAGACCAUGGAAAGGAGGUCCUACUUGGCAUGUAGUGAGCUGUGUGCCAACUCACAUGUGCCAAGGCAAAAGGGUGGAUGGCAAGAUUGUGUCCCAAGACCACAAACAACUCACGUCUGAGUUCAUCGCUUACAGGCUCUCCAACUCAAUAUCCACACUUCCAACAAUGAGCGUCCAACAUGUCAUUGACCUUGUGAAAGCCAUCUUUCAUUACAAGGUGAAAUACGGCAAGGCAUGGAAGGCGAAGCAAGCCGCAUUUAAGAUGUUGUAUGGUACAUGGGAGGAAGCAUACAACCGAAUCCCUAGGUUGUUGUUAGCCAUGGCCGCGACAAACCCGGGCAUGGUUCAUGUGGUCGAGCCUCAUGGGCACCAAACAACGGUUCAUGAAGGAAGGAAAGUCAGAGUAUUUGGCCGUGCUUUUUGGGCGUUCGAGCAAUGUGUGAGGGCUUUCGAACAUUGUAGGCCGGUCAUCGCAAUUGAUGGCACGUUCUUGACCGGACAAUACAAGGGCACCUUUUUGGUUGCGAUAGCAAGUGAUGCCAAUAACCGGGUGUUGCCAUUGGCAUUUGCUUUGGUUGAGGUGGAAAACAAUGACAACUGGGAGUGGUUUCUGCAUCUUUUGAGGACGAAGGUGUUACCCGCUCAAAGGAAAAUUUGUGUCAUAUCGGAUCGGAAUCAAGGAAUUCUUAACGCCGUGGAGAUUGACAUUCCCGGGCAUGCUCCAUUGCACCAUCGCUGGUGCAUGAGGCACUUUUGUUCGAACUUCUAUAGGGCGUGUGGCCUUAAGGAGUUGGCCGAUGAUCUUCAAGAUUGUUGUCUCGCUUUCUCCGAUAAGCGCUUCGCCACUUUGUACAACAAAUUGCUCGCACACAAAAAACUUGAUCCCGGGGAUCAAGAGUUUCUCAAUAGGCACAUUCAAUACCGGAACAAGUGGGCACGUGCUUUUGAUGAAGAUGGCCGGAGAUACGGUCAAAUGACAAGCAAUAUGGCCGAAUGCUUCAAUAGGGUGCUCAAAGGUGCACGUGGAUUACCCGUGACGGCAAUAGUUCAAUACACAUUUGACAAGAUGAAUGCGUACUUUGUAAAGUACUCGAUGGAAACCGAUGCACAGAUAGCGGGUGAGAACCCACGGAAGUACAAGUACAAGUUCCCACCCAAAGUUGAUGAAUGGUUGCUAUUUCAAUCACGGAAGGCGGACUCAGAAGAAGCUAUAUUAUAUGACAAUGAGGAGUGGAAGUACGAAGUGAAAGAGCCAGGAGGAACCACAAACGAUGGCCGGCAACAUGGAGGUUGGGCUUUCAAAGUGUCGUUAACACAAUGUGAUUGCACUUGCGGGAGGCCAUUGUUGCUUCAUCUCCCAUGCUCACAUUUGUAUGCCGCCGGCCGCGUUAGGAAUGUGGACAUCAAUCACCCACGCUGGCCCAAUCCUUGA